GGUUGAUCCUGCCAGUAGUCAUAUGCUUGUCUCAAAGAUUAAGCCAUGCAUGUCUAAGUACACACUUUGGUAAAGUGAAACCGCGAAUGGCUCAUUAAAUCAGCUACAAUUUAUUAGAUCGUACACUGUUACUUGGAUAACUGUGGGAAUUCUAGAGCUAAUACAUGCCGAGAGUCUCUGCUCUUCGGGGCAGAGCGCAGUUAUUAGACCAAAACCAGCCGUAUUCUUCGGGGUACGCUCUUUUGGUGACUCUGGAUAACCUUCAGCCGAUCGCAUGGCCUCGUGCCGGCGACGUAUCUUUCAAGUGUCUGCCCUAUCAACUUUCGAUGGUACGUGAUAUGCCUACCAUGGUGAUAACGGGUAACGGGGAAUCAGGGUUCGAUUCCGGAGAGGGAGCCUGAGAAAUGGCUACCACAUCCAAGGAUGGCAGCAGGCGCGCAAAUUACCCACUCCCAGCUUGGGGAGGUAGUGACGAAAAAUAACAAUGCGGGACUCUAAGAGGCCCCGUAAUUGGAAUGAGUACACCUUAAAUCGUUUAACGAGUAUCAAUUGGAGGGCAAGUCUGGUGCCAGCAGCCGCGGUAAUUCCAGCUCCAAUAGCGUAUAUUAAAGUUGCUGCAGUUAAAAAGCUCGUAGUUGGAUCUGGGGCUUGAGGUCGCUGUCUAUCGUUUCGGCGAUGACGGUGAUGCUCAGCUCUGCUUGCCGGUGACUGUUGCGGUGUUCUUCACUGAGCGCUGUAGCAGCACGGCACGUUUACUUUGAAAAAAUUAGAGUGCUCAAAGCGUGCUUGUCGCUUGAAUAAUGUUGCAUGGAAUAAUGGAAUAGGACCUCGGUUCUAUUUUGUUGGUUUUCGGAGCUUGAGGUAAUGAUUAAGAGGGACGAACGGGGGCAUUCGUAUUGCGGUGUUAGAGGUGAAAUUCUUGGAUCGCCGCAAGACGGACUACUGCGAAAGCAUUUGCCAAGAACGCUUUCAUUAAUUAAGAACGAAAGUCAGAGGUUCGAAGACGAUCAGACACCGUCCUAGUUCUGACCAUAAACGAUGCCGACCAGCGAUCCGUAGUGGUUGCUUUAUGGACCCUACGGGCAGCCUCCGGGAAACCAAAGUAUUUGGGUUCCGGGGGAAGUAUGGUUGCAAAGCUGAAACUUAAAGGAAUUGACGGAAGGGCACACCAGGAGUGGAGCCUGCGGCUUAAUUUGACCCAACACGGGAAAACUCACCCGGUCCGGACACCGUAAGGAUUGACAGACUGAUAGCUCUUUCUUGAUUCGGUGGAUGGUGGUGCAUGGCCGUUCUUAGUUGGUGGAGUGAUUUGUCUGGUUAAUUCCGAUAACGAACGAGACUCUAGCCUGCUAAGUAG
rnacentral:rRNA from 1 species